rnacentral:rRNA from 1 species
GAACAGGCAAAAAGCUUGCUGCUUCGCUGACGAGUGGCGGACGGGUGAGUAAUGUCUGGGAAACUGCCUGAUGGAGGGGGAUAACUACUGGAAACGGUAGCUAAUACCGCAUAACGUCGCAAGACCAAAGAGGGGGACCUUCGGGCCUCUUGCCAUCGGAUGUGCCCAGAUGGGAUUAGCUAGUAGGUGGGGUAACGGCUCACCUAGGCGACGAUCCCUAGCUGGUCUGAGAGGAUGACCAGCCACACUGGAACUGAGACACGGUCCAGACUCCUACGGGAGGCAGCAGUGGGGAAUAUUGCACAAUGGGCGCAAGCCUGAUGCAGCCAUGCCGCGUGUAUGAAGAAGGCCUUCGGGUUGUAAAGUACUUUCAGCGGGGAGGAAGGGAGUAAAGUUAAUACCUUUGCUCAUUGACGUUACCCGCAGAAGAAGCACCGGCUAACUCCGUGCCAGCAGCCGCGGUAAUACGGAGGGUGCAAGCGUUAAUCGGAAUUACUGGGCGUAAAGCGCACGCAGGCGGUUUGUUAAGUCAGAUGUGAAAUCCCCGGGCUCAACCUGGGAACUGCAUCUGAUACUGGCAAGCUUGAGUCUCGUAGAGGGGGGUAGAAUUCCAGGUGUAGCGGUGAAAUGCGUAAGAGAUCUGGGAGGAAUACCGGUGGCGAAGGCGGCCCCCCUGGA